CUGUAUGGCACGCUGAGAUGUAUGAAGCUGUGUGACGUCACAUAAAGUCCGUUACUGUCCGUUUGUCCCUGGUGAGAUGCCAUCACUGACCGUUGACGCAUGCGCAGUUGCGCCAUUGGAAUGCCGGUGUGCAUUCUUGCUUUGGAUUAUCACUGCACGGUGUGGGGUAUAAAUAUGGGGCAAAAAAAGAAAGAGC